rnacentral:rRNA from 1 species
AUUGAACGCUGGCGGCAGGCCUAACACAUGCAAGUCGAGCGGAUGAGUGGAGCUUGCUCCAUGAUUCAGCGGCGGACGGGUGAGUAAUGCCUAGGAAUCUGCCUGGUAGUGGGGGACAACGUUUCGAAAGGAACGCUAAUACCGCAUACGUCCUACGGGAGAAAGCAGGGGACCUUCGGGCCUUGCGCUAUCAGAUGAGCCUAGGUCGGAUUAGCUAGUAGGUGAGGUAAUGGCUCACCUAGGCGACGAUCCGUAACUGGUCUGAGAGGAUGAUCAGUCAAACUGGAACUGAGACACGGUCCAGACUCCUACGGGAGGCAGCAGUGGGGAAUAUUGGACAAUGGGCGAAAGCCUGAUCCAGCCAUGCCGCGUGUGAAGAAGGUCUUCGGAUUGUAAAGCACUUUAAGUUGGGAGGAAGGGCAGUAAGUUAAUACUUUGCUGUUUUGACGUUACCAACAGAAUAAGCACCGGCUAACUUCGUGCCAGCCGCCGCAGUAAUAC